rnacentral:rRNA from 1 species
UUUCCGUAGGUGAACCUGCGGAAGGAUCAUUACCUAGAGUUGUAGGCUUUGCCUGCUAUCUCUUACCCAUGUCUUUUAAGUACCUUCGUUUCCUCGGCGGGUUCGCCCGCCGAUUGGACAAUUUAAACCAUUUGCAGUUGCAAUCAGCGUCUGAAAAAACUUAAUAGUUACAACUUUCAACAACGGAUCUCUUGGUUCUGGCAUCGAUGAAGAACGCAGCGAAAUGCGAUAAGUAGUGUGAAUUGCAGAAUUCAGUGAAUCAUCGAAUCUUUGAACGCACAUUGCGCCCCUUGGUAUUCCAUGGGGCAUGCCUGUUCGAGCGUCAUUUGUACCUUCAAGCUCUGCUUGGUGUUGGGUGUUUGUCUCGCCUCUGCGUGUAGACUCGCCUCAAAACAAUUGGCAGCCGGCGUAUUGAUUUCGGAGCGCAGUACAUCUCGCGCUUUGCACUCAUAACGACGACGUCCAAAAGUACAUUUUUACACUCUUGACCUCGGAUCAGGUAGGGAUACCCG